AAUUUAGCCUAAUUUACGACUUACGCAAUGAGGCUGAGGGUGUACUUCUUAAAAUACUCAUAUUCCUUAAUAGUUGCAGAAAUUAAAAACGAAAUCAUCUACAUAUCCCAAAUCCACAUUUAAAAGAAAUGUGUAUAUAGAUUUCCCUAACGCUCAUACCGCAAAAUUUCAUUCACACAACAAGUUGUAAAUACAGGCGCAGCAGUAGACCAUGAAAGGCAUGGGACCAGCACAAGAGGUUUUGGCCAAUUUGUGGCCGCCAAUGAAGCCAUCUAAAAUGAACAAAACGUAUUGAAAGAUUUAAAAUCAUAAUCAUGAGCUUACAUACAUGCCCACCCAUGGAUAACCCAGUUAUGCCUAGUGGCCCAAGUCCAUUCCUUUCGCACCAAUGCAGUAAAACCAAGCAUUCGAGUAUUAGACAUCCACCCAUCACAAAUAUGUCAGAUACAUUUUGUAAAUUAGAGCGCCUAAAAUGUUUAUAUUAAUCUUAUG